rnacentral:rRNA from 1 species
UGGGGAAUAUUGGACAAUGGGCGAAAGCCUGAUCCAGCCAUGCCGCGUGUGUGAAGAAGGUCUUCGGAUUGUAAAGCACUUUAAGUUGGGAGGAAGGGCAGUAAGCGAAUACCUUGCUGUUUUGACGUUACCGACAGAAUAAGCACCGGCUAACUCUGUGCCAGCAGCCGCGGUAAUACAGAGGGUGCAAGUGUUAAUCGGAAUUACUGGGCGUAAAGCGCGCGUAGGUGGUUCGUUAAGUUGAAUGUGAAAGCCCCGGGCUCAACCUGGGAACUGCAUCCAAAACUGUCGAGCUCGAGUAGGGCAGAGGGUGGUGGAAUUUCCUGUGUAGCGGUGAAAUGCGUAGAUAUAGGAAGGAACACCAGUGGCGAAGGCGACCACCUGGGCUCAUACUGACACUGAGGUGCGAAAGCGUGGGGAGCAAACAGG